rnacentral:lncRNA from 10 species
CUGACAUCAAAUACUAUUCCAUAAGCAUUUAUACAAAUGGUCAAAGUGUGUGCUGAGUUAAUAUUUUGGAAAAUUACUCAUUGUGUGUUUUGUUCCCAGCAUUACUUGUUCUCCUUUGGCUCUUACCCAUUCAAUCAGCUCAGUAUUCUGCAUGUAAUGAUGCAGAAGAUAGAUGAAUUGCAGAAUCCAAUAUAUAACUAACAAAAACCUUAUCCUAGCUCUUGAGUUCCAAAAUUCCAGUUUUCAGUAGGCAUAGAAUAUAACUUCUGUCAUGAAUAGUGAUUUGAGAAGAUACUCACUGAAUCAGAGCAAGGCUAUUCUGGCCCAGAGACUGGCAACUUUUCCCCAGGAUAGAGGAGAGUCAGAGGGAAGUGAUUAGAACUUAGGUGGUGUUGGGUCUUUGCAAAAUGGAGCCUCCACCCCAUCUCAUUUCCCAGGCCAACCUCCAGGGGAUGACAAAUUCAAGAUUAGUUUGGACUUCAUAAGAGCAAAAGAGACUGGUGCUCACAUUCUCCAGGCCCAGCCCAGCAAGUUGACCAACACUGAGUAGAAAUGGCUUUGUAGAAGCCUUUGCACUUGGACUUUGAAACCUCACAGAUUCCACCUGUGCUUCUCUUUGGUGCAGAAGAGCAAAGUGAUCUCUAGGCACACAGGAGCAGUGCUCCAAUGAAGCACAGCAUUGUUUUUCUGACAGCAAAUCUGUCAUUUUCCAAGGACCACCAAUUCUCCAAUUCUUUGAUACCAACUGGGUGUCCAAUAAUUCAAUUCAACUCUGACACCAAUUACCUGGAGUCAGUGCAGACCCCACAAGUUAUGGGUUCAGUUGCAUAACAAUGCCUCCACUUCACAUGUUAGCCGGAUAUGGGGCUCCAAGCUAACUGAACCUCUGCUCAAUCAACUACAAAUUUGGGGAUUCCCAUGACCCUCCCUGUAUUAGUUCAUUUCCACGCUGCUGAUAAAGACAUAUCAUGCUGAUAAAGAACAGCAUGGAAAAGAACUGAGCCCCUGAUUCAAUUACCUCCCACCACGUUCCUCCCACAACACAUGGCAAUUCAAGAUGAGAUUUGGGUGGGGACACAGCCAAACCAUAUCACUCCCCACCCUCCACCAGGUUUGAUAAUUCGCUAGAAAGACUCACAGGACACAGGAAAGCACUAUACUUACCACUGCAGUUUUAUUAUAAAGAAUACGAUUCAGAAACAGCCAAAUGGAAGAGAUGCAUAGAGCUAGCAAGGGAGUGGAAGGUGGACAGAAAGCCCAUGCCCUCUCUGGGCAUCCACCCACCCAGCACAUCAAUAUGUUCACAAACUCAGAACAUCCCUAAACGUUGUUGUUCAAGAGAUUUUACUGAAAUUUCAUUAUGUAGGUGUGAUUGGCCAUUGGUGAUUGAACUCAAUCUCCAGACCCUCUUCCCCUCUCCACAGUUAGGGGUUAGGGGAUGGGGCUGAAAGUCGCCUGGUGAUCAGCUCUAUUCUGAAGCUCUCUAGAGGUUAAGAAUUCUCUCAUUAGCAUGUGGUCAGGUAUGAUUCAAAGAGGCAUGUUAUGAAUUACAAAAGAGUCCUAUUAGGAAAUUCUAAAGGUUUAGAAACCCUUGUUCCCCGCGUAACUACUCCACCCAAGGCAAGUCUCAAGCUGUCCAACUUGAUGUCACUGAGUUCACCUGGAACCCAGAUGAAAUAUCAGGAGGAAAGGGAAGGGAGGAUCUGUAAUUGAAAAUAAAAGAGUGAAUUAUGAAAACUGAUUAAGCCAAACCCAUCGUAUUCAUAUAUUCAUGUGUAAUAUUUAAGAAACCACUGCCUAAUCCAAGGUCAUGAAGAUUAACAUCUAUGUUAUUAAAAUGAAGUUCUGAAGAAGCUGGAUUUAUGUGGCUAUGGUAAAUGUAUCUUUAAAAACUCUUGAAGGAAAAAGCAAUAAAAUCUACACUAAAUUAUUGAAGAAGUCAAAAUAACAAAUGCACUUAUGGAUAAUGUUAAAAGUCUCAAAAAUGUACUAGCUUCAUUGCAGUCUGAAAAAUCCAGUUUGAAAGUGAGAUUUCAGAGCUUCAGCAGAAACUUAGUCAUUACUAAACUGCAUCAAUAAAAUAAAAUGAUUAUGCAAGAUUCAAUUUAAAGUGAUUUACUAUGGAAAGAGAAGAAUCUUUCCAAAGCAGAUGAAAAAAUCAGUCAUGCAUCUGAAGUGCUAGACAUCUUCAGAAUCCUAGCCAAAAUUCUCUCUCUCUCUGUCUCUCUCUCUCUCUCUUUUUUAGCAGGGCCUCUCUCUCUCUGUUGCUUAGGCUGGAGUGCAGUGGCAUGAUCACAGCUCACUGCAGCCUCAACCUCCUGGGCUCAAAUGAUCCUCCCACCUUAGCCUCCCAAGUAGCUGGGACCACAAGCAUGCACCACUAUAUGUAGCUAAUAUUCUUUUAAAUUAUUUUUUGUGGAGACAGGGUCUCCCUGUGUUGCCCAGGCUGGUCUCAAAUUUCUGGCCUCAAGAGAUCCUCCUGUCUUGGCAUCCCAAAGUGUUGGGAUUAUAGGUGUGAGCUACCACACCCAGCCCAAAUUAAAAUUCUUCUAGAAAAAUUAGAAAAAGCCAUUGGAUCCUAUCAAUUAUCAUGAGGAAAAAAAAGCUCUUGAUAGUUGGUUGAGAGCUCUAUUGGCUGAGAAAAACUUUGAUAACUCAAGAAAAUAAAAUCCACAACUCAGGGAAAUAAUGAUUUAGGAAGAACUUAAGUUUCAGCUUUUUAAAAAGUAUCUCUAUGUCCCUGAUAUUCCAAAAGGAAAAUUUGGCAGAUGCAUGGGAGAUACUAGGAUCCCCUGAUACCAAGACAGCGGAGCAUUAGGUUGGGAUGGCUCAGGGUUCCAGGAUCUGUGCCUAGUGUGGACCAGAUUCCUCCAUCAGGCCAACUCCAUCAGGACACAUAAAUUCCUCCACAACAACAGGGAGAGUUUCUCCUGGUGCUCCUUUGCUGCCUUCUUUCAAUGAUAUUCAAUGCUCAAGAUCUUCUUUUGAUGAUGUUGAGAGACAUGCACCUUCAGAAGUGGAGACCAAUAGGAAAGACAAUGCACAUGAUCUUGGUCAUUUAAUUACACCAGACUCAACCCUUCCAUCUGGACAAGAAGCAGCUGCCCAGGCUCUGUUCUUCUACCUCAUCCUCCUGUCAGAUGGCACAGAUGUGUCCCAGGGGAAUGUUCCUGAGAAGCAAACCUUCUGUCAUGCUCUCUUCUCUGGAAAGCCAUCAUGGACCUCCUCAAGGAUUCUUUCCUUGGGGAUGGCCACGGCCCAGCACAUCCUUCUCUGGCCACAAGAAACAUGUCUUCACAAGUGCUGGAUUUUGUCUUCUGUUCACACAACUUGAAAACAGAAGCAAUGCACCUUCAGAAUUGAUCCUGCCUCCCAAGAAGCCUACUUCCAAAGAUCAGAAUCAUAAAAUGCAUUUUUGCUGUCUUCAACUCUACUUUUGCAUUCAGACAGGCAGGGGAUGCCUCAUCCUUUGAAUACUGGCACAUUAAGAGCAGUGACAUAGGUAAGAACUGAACCCAAGCACUAUAAGAGAGGAUGUUAAGCAAGAUCUAAAAAUCAACGUGAUCAACAAGAGCAGUAAUCUUUUCUUUUCCAAGAAAAAAGAAUGGAAGAAACAGAAGGUACUGGGCGCAAUGUAUUAAACACUGUGUUUUGAAUGACUCGAGAUUCUACGACUGCCUGGAGGGGUUUUGCUGGAUCGGUGCAAUGUCAUGUGAUUAUUGGAAAUUAAUCCCUUUUUUCAAGAAUUUUUCAAGAAUUAGGUUAAGUUAGAUUUGAGCAAACUUAAUUACCUUGCCAGGCAUUUGUUUUUCAGAAACAUAAUAAUCUAUGUAUUUGAUUCAAUUAGUAGUAGGCCCAUGGGUUGUUCUGUAAAUCACAAGUAUGAAAUACAGACUCUAAAAUUCAUUUAUUGAGCAAUUACCAUCUUCUGGGCAAUGACCUUGUGAGAGGAAUACCAUUAUGCCUAUUUUACUAAUAUGAGAAAUAAACCAAAAAGAGGUUAAGUAACCUGUCCAAAGAAAUACACCAAGAAGUGGGGGAGCUGAUUUGUACCCACAAAUGGUUCUUCAUUAAUUCUCUUUCAGCUGGGAAAGAUAAUUUCAAAUGUUAGCAUAUGUCCUGAUUUUAUCUUGUGUACAUCAUAUUAAAACCCAGAAGGACUGGUUGGCCAAUCGACAUCAUCCUUCAAACUUUUCUCCCUCUCUCCCUUCACUCAAUCUAGUCAACAAUUAGAAGACAGAAUCGAAGUGUGAUUUGUUGAUACCCAAAAAAGACUAUGAUGACUGAAGGAAAUGUAGAGUACUCUAGAUCACAAAAAAUAAUUCCUGCAUGGUGAUGGUGAGGGUUCAGUUCUCGUUCUCCCCAUCACAAUUCUAUGUAUAUAUGCCAUGAGGACAAACACUUGCAAAUAUAGGCAAACUGCUGAUUGUGGGAGGGUGGGGCAGAGUGCAGAAUGAAUCAGCUAUUAAGAUAAAUCAUCUAUUCAACUGUUAACCCCAGGCAAGCACAAAACCCACAGAAUAUUAUGAAAGAAUAUUCUCAAGCACUAGGUGUUUUUAGGAAUUCUAGAAACAAAGACUGAGAUAGCACUUGUUACAGACUAUUUUUUUUAGAGCAGUUUUAGGUUCACAGCAAAACUGAAAGGUACAUAGAUGGCUGGGGGCAGUGGCUCACACCUGUAAUCCCAGCACUUUGGGAGGUAGAGGCGGGCACAUCACUUGAGGCCAGGAGUUCGAGACCAGCUUGGCCAACAUGGCAAAACUCCCUCUCUACUAAAAACACAAAAAUUCGGCGGGCGAUAGUGGCAUGUGCCUGUAAUCCCAGCUACUCGGGAGGCUGAGGCAGGAGAAUUGCUUGAACCCAGGGAGGGGGAGGUUACAGUGAGCCGAGAUCGCACCACUGCACCCCAGCCUGGAUGAUACAGAGAUUUCCCAUAUACCCACUACCCCAUUCAGGAACAGCCUCCCCUACUACCAACAUCCCCCAUUGGAGUGGUACGUUUGUUACAAUCAAUGAACUUGUACUGACAUAUCAUUAUCACCCAAAUAUUAUUAAACAAUCUCUCCUUUUCUUACUUUUUUUGUGGUUAUUAGAAAAUUUAAAAUUACACAUAUGUGGCUUGCAUUAUAUUUAUCCUGGACAAUGUUGCUCUAGAAUCAACCUGCCUGGGUGUUAAAUCCUCCACAAACCUGAGGUAUGACCUUAAACAGUUAACAUAACCAUGUCUCAGUUUCCUUAUCUGCACAAUGGGCUUAAAGACAAUACUUUAAAGCAGCGGUCCCCAACCUUUUUGGCACCAGGGAUCACAUUUCUUGGAAGACAAUUUUUCCUCGGAACAGGAGUGGGGGUGGGUAGAUGGUUUCGGGAUGAAAUUGUUCCAUCUCAGAUUCUCAUUAAGGAGUGCCCAACGUAGAUCCCUCGCAUGCGCAGUUCACAAUAGGGUUCCUGUUCCCGCUCCUAUGAGAAUCUAAUGCCACCACUGAUCUGAGAUGGGACAGAGCUCUGUUGGUAAUGCUCCUGCGCCAUGCUCACCUCCUGCUGUGCAGCCCACUUCCCUUCUGUGGCCCAGUGGUUGGGGACCCCUGCUUUAAAGGAUUAAGAGCAUUUCUUAGACAUACUGAUGUUGGCAUGUGCCAAUGUUCAGUAAUAAUAGCAAGGGUACCAGCAAAAUGAUCAAAGAGUGAGCCUAUUCCGAGACAGAACAGAACUGGAAGUGGGAUAUAGUUGAAAAAUGGAAGGAUCACUAGAGCAGUUUAUUAAAACACACACAAACAAAAACAAUACAAAGCAAGCAGAUAGCUAGUUAGUGUUUAAAGUUACAUUUUCCAGGGUCAUAAAAGCAUCAUUCCUAUAUCAGUUGUUACAGAGGAAAUCUGGAGGAAAUAGUGGCAGAUUGCAGGUAUGCUGACCAUUGACUGAAAAUAAAAAUAAAUACAUCUACAAAGCAAGGACAAUGAUACAUCUGUGGUUGUUAACUGGAGUCUUAGGCUUUCAUCCCCCAGCUUUGCUGAGGAUGCAGAAACUGAGUUAAGCCAACAUCAGAGGCAGAGCACCGAGCAACAAAAUCUGACUUUAAACAGAUUGUUGCCAGUGAUUUUCUCAAACCAUAAGUAAAACACAGAAUCUAUAGUUUGCCCAUUUUUUGUUUUGAGGCAAAAAGUUUUAAUUUUAUACCCAUAAGGUUGUGAGAAUUAAAUAAAAUAUCACAUCUAUUAUAUUUACAUGCAUUAAUAAUAGCUUAUUGGGAAUAUUAUUAUGGGAAAGUCAUGAGGAUAAAAAAGUUAUAGUUUAGUUUCACCAUGUUUAAAAUCAUAAUAAUACGGCUGGGCGUGGUGGCUCAUGCUUGUAAUCCCAGAACUUUGGGAAGGCCAAGGCGGGUGGAUCACGAGGUCAGGAGAUCGAGACCAGCCUGGCCAACAUGAUGAAACUCCGUCUGUACUAAAAAUACAAAAAAAUUAGCUGGGCAUGGUGGUGCGCACCUGUAGUCCCAGCUACUCGGGAAGCUGAGGCAGGAGAAUCUCUUGAACCUAGGAGGCAAAGGUUGCAGUGACCCAAGAUUGUGCCACUGCACUCCCGCCUGGCAACAGAGUAAGACUCCAUCUCAAAAUAAAAAUAAAAAAAAUAAUAAUAAUAAUUGUGAAUUACAUCAAAAUUGGAAUUAUUAAAAUACAAUCAGAUUCAGACAUUAAUUUUUUCUUAGAGUCAGGGUCCCAUUCUGUCACCCAGGCUGGAGUGAAGUGGCAUGCUCAUGGCUCACUGCAGCCUUGAACUCCUGGGCUCAAGUGAUUCUCACAUCUCAGUCUCCUGAGUAGCUGGGACUACAGGCAUGUGCCAUCACUCCUGACUAAGUUUUUCUAUUUUUAGUAGAGACAGGGUCUCACUUUGUUGGCCAGGCUGGUCUCAAACUCCUGGCCUGAAGUGAUCCUUCUGUCUUAGCCUCCCAAAGUGCUGGGAUUCCAGGAGUAAGCCACCACACCCAACCUCAGAAAGAGUAAUUUUAAGAAAAAAAUUAAUGUAGAAAUCACUGUUGAUUUAAAAUAUGGAGCAUUUCAAGAUUGGAGAGUCAUAAACUAAUUUGGAACUAUUUAAUACUUUUUACAUUUGCUAGUAGCAGUGACAGCAGAAAAUACAUUUCCAAGUGG